AACGUAGGUGGCAAGCGUUAUCCGGAAUUACUGGGCGUAAAGGGUGUGCAGGCGGGGUGGCAAGUGGUGUAUGAAAUCUCCCAGCUUAACUGGGAUAGGUUAUGCCAGACUGCUACUCUAGAGGACGGUAGAGGCGUGUGGAAUUCCGGGUGUAGUGGUGAAAUGCGUAGAGAUCCGGAGGAACACCAGUGGCGAAGGCGACACGCUGGGCCGUACCUGACGCUAAAACGCGACAGCAUGGGGAGCGAACGGG
rnacentral:rRNA from 1 species